GCAAGUGAACUGAACUUGUGCGUCGGUGUAGGCUACACUAUGUUCUUUAAAUGCACCUAACUUUAAACGUGCUCCGUGAUUUCUUUUAAAGAAAAAACAACUAGGAUAUGUACCACGAUGGUAGAGAGGACCGUUUCUGCAACAGCGACCUAUUCUUCCUUUGAAAAUUAAUCCAAAAGAAAACUUGAAACUGGUAAGUAGCUCCUUUAUGUACUAUUCUUAAUUUCGUGUUUAUAUUAUGGAUAAAUAGGCACUAAUCAUCUAUUUAUUUUUUAUACAUGUAUUUAUAGUCUAUAAAUGUAACAAGAAAUUAUUUUAAAACUUUUGACACAAAGUACAUCAGUAUAUUUCGGUAGGUAAAUGUAUACAUCGAUGACUGGGAGCCAGCAGUAAUUUAUAAAUCUGUGGUACAUUUUGUAACGGUGUCAGAACAAACGAGGCAGUCAUAUAUUUGUCAUUUUCUAAAAUUACAGUUUUACUACAGUAUUAUUAUUAAGGCUAUUUUUGUAAAUUUCAGUGAAAUGAAUCUGCACUCUUCAUGUUGACUUGUCUGAUUUAUUACUCUGCUAUAGCUCAGCCUUUGUCUUUGUUACUCCACAGAUCAGUCUGAGCUCUAAAAGCAGGUAAGCCACUGACUAACGCACAUUGUGCCAGUUGUCAGUUCCACUGUGCGUGUGACAGCGGCUAACCUGGUUUUGGGAAUACCUCUCAUUUUAUUUUCAUUUCUGGGCUUGUGCAAGACCAGCCACAGCCGGACCAAACAGACACCUACCUCCAAGCUUUCCCUGAGCAUGUGCACAUUUCUGGAACAGGCCUUCCCACCAUGACUGUUUAGCCAGUGGUCUCCAUGUGUAGACUACUUCCUCACAUGUGCACAUACUGUCCUCUUAUUUAGGGCAAAUUGCACUGCCCACGUAGAGGCAACCCCUUUAAUGCCACCCAUUGUCAAGACUAUUGGUGAGUGUUUUAUUCCUGUUUCUGUUUCAUCUUACAUGAUAAAAAUCCUGUUUUUCUCGCAAGUUCCAAAUUUGAGGUCAGAGGCCCUCCAGGGGCUCCUGGAAAAGUCCUCAUGGCCCUAAAAAAGGGAGCCUCGCCAGAAUAUGCCAAGCGUAGUUUUUGACACACUUUGAUUGUACAUUCUGUUCCACCAUUCAGCAGUUACUUUCUCUAAAAGAAAUGAAGACAUCAACUGUACUGUACCAUUUUUGUUUGUAAAAAGCACUCCCUAGACCAGGAAGUAAAAUUUCUAUUUAAAACAA